UACGUAGGGGGCAAGCGUUGUCCGGAAUUAUUGGGCGUAAAGCGCGUGUAGGCGGCCAGAUAAGUCCGCUGUGAAAUCUCGAGGCUCAACUUCGAGCUGUCGGUGGAAACUGUCUGGCUAGAGUCCGGAAGAGGAGAAUGGAAUUCCUGGUGUAGCGGUGAAAUGCGCAGAUAUCAGGAAGAACACCCGUGGCGAAGGCGGUUCUCUGGGACGGUACUGACACUGAGGCGCGAAAGCGUGGGGAGCGAACAGG
rnacentral:rRNA from 1 species